rnacentral:rRNA from 2 species
UGGGGAAUAUUGGGCAAUGGACGCAAGUCUGACCCAGCAACGCCGCGUGAAGGAAGAAGGCUUUCGGGUUGUAAACUUCUUUUAAGUGGGAAGAGUAGAAGACGGUACCACUUGAAUAAGCCACGGCUAACUACGUGCCAGCAGCCGCGGUAAUACGUAGGUGGCAAGCGUUGUCCGGAUUUACUGGGUGUAAAGGGCGUGUAGCCGGGUCGGCAAGUCAGAUGUGAAAUCCACGGGCUUAACUCGUGAACUGCAUUUGAAACUGUUGAUCUUGAGUAUCGGAGAGGUAAUCGGAAUUCCUUGUGUAGCGGUGAAAUGCGUAGAUAUAAGGAAGAACACCAGUGGCGAAGGCGGAUUACUGGACGACAACUGACGGUGAGGCGCGAAAGCGUGGGGAGCAAACAGG